ACAUGCAUACAUACAUGCAUGCAUGCAUGCAUGCAUGCAUGCAUACAUACAUGCAUGCAUGCAUGCAUACAUACAUACAUACAUACAUACAUACAUACAUACAUACAUACAUACAUACAUACAUACAUACAUACAUACAUACAUACAUACAUACUAACUACAGCAAUCGACUGCUCUCAGUAGCUAUGUUUCCAUUAACUUGUCCAGUGAUUUUUUUGUUGUUGUUGUUGACAUUUCUAAAGUUUGCAUAGAAAAUAAAUGUGACAAUUGCCUGUUAGGGUGCAUGUCCAUUUAACUAUCUUGUCUAUAAAAACACCUGGACGUAAUGAAGUAACAUAAACACAAUUUUCUUUUAAUGGCAAAAAACCUUGUGUCGAAUAAAAAUGCAAUGUUUCCAUUACCCAUUUAGGCAAAUUGCACAUGAAUACAUUGGCGACAGCCUGUAUUCCCUCCCACCUGUCUGUUUCAUGUCUGAGGUAGCCCGUGAAAGCCAGCAUGGACAGAAUGCAAUAAUUGACUUAUAUAUUCGAAUAGUUCUCGUGCCAACGUAUCGCCAAGGUCCGUGCCAUGUUUUUACAUUUUUUAUUUAACCUUUAUUUAACUAGGCAAGUCAGUUAAGAACAAAUUCUUGUGGUGACGGGGAUUAAAAAUAAAAUAAAAAUAUAGGACAAAACACACAUCACGACAAGAGAGACCCCACAACACUACAUAAAGAGAGACCCAAGAUGACAACAUAGCAUGGCAGCAACACACGAUAACACAGCAUGUUAGCAAUACAACAUGACAACAACAUGGUAGCAAGACAACAUGGUAGCAGCACAAAACAUGGUACAAUCAUUAUUGGGCACAGACAACAGCACAUAAGGCAAGACGGUAGAGACAACAAUACAUCACGCGAAGCAGCCACGGCUGUCACCUGUAAUAAUUGGAUGGAGAAACUUGCCAGCCAACCACAAUAGCAAGGGGACGCAAUACAGGCAUUCUUGAAAGUCAGGACAAUUUUUGUCCUGCAAAUAAAAAAAAUAUUCUAGUUGAACAUGCUACAAUUUAGAAGAUUUUUACCAAGUUACAGUUCAUGUAAGGAAAUCAGUCAAUUGAAAUCAUUUCAUUAGACCCUAGUCUAUGGAUUUCACAUGACCGCGUAAACAGAUAUGCAUCUGUUCAUCACAGAUACUUAAAAAAAAAGAAGGUAGGGGUGAGGAUCAGAAAACCGGUCAGUAUCUGGUGUGACCACCAUUUUGCCUCAUGCAGCACGACACAUCUCCUUCGCAUCGAGUUGAUCAAGCUGUUGGUUGUGGCCUGUGGAAUGUUGUGACCAUGCUCAAUGGGUGACAUGUCUGGUGACAAUGCAGACCGUGGAAGAACUGGGACAUGUUCAGCUUCCAGGAGUUGUGUACAGAUCCUUGUGACAUGGAGCUGUGAGUUAUCAUGCUGAGACAUGAGGUGAUGGCGGCAGAUGAUUGGCACGACAAUAGGUCUCAGGAUCUCAUCACGGUCCAUUCAAAUUGCCAUCGAUAAAAUGCAAUUGUGUUCAUUGUCCUUAGCUUAUGCCUGCCCGUACCAUAACUCCACCGCCAUGGGGAACUUUGUUUACAAUGUUGACAUAAGCAAAUCGCUCGCCCACACAAAGCCUUACACACUGUCUGCCAUCUGCCUGGUACAGUUGAAACCGGGAUUGAUCCAUGAUGAGCACACUGCCAGUCGCCAUCGAAGUUGGUUUCGACUCCAACUGCAGUCAGACCCUGGUGAGGAGGACCAGCAUGCAGAUGAGCUUCCCUGAGACGAUUUCUGACCGUUUGUGCAGAAAUUCUUCAGUUGUGCAAACCCACAGUUUGAUCAGCUGUCUGGGUGGCUGGUCUCAGGAGAUCCCGUAGGUGAAGAAGCCGGAUGUGGAGGUCCUGGGCUUGCGUGGUUAUACGUGGUCUGCGGUUUUGAGGCUGGUUGGACGUACUGCCAAAUUCUCUAGAACUAUGUUUGAAGCGGCUUAUGGUAGACAAAUUAACGUUCAAUCCGCUGGCAACAGCUCGGGUGGACAUUCCUGCAGUCAGAAUGCCAUUUGCACACUCCCUCAACUUGAGACAUCUCUGGCAUUGUGUUGUGUGACACAACUUCACAAGUGGCCUUUUAUUUUCCCCAGCACAAGGUGCUCCUGUGUAAUGAUCAUGCUGUUUGAUUAACUUCUUGAUAUUAUCUUGGCAAAGGAGAAAUGCUCACUAACAGGGAUGUAAACAAAUUGAUGCACAACAUUUGAGAGAGAAGCUUUUUGUGUGUAUGGAACAUUCCUUGAUCUUUUAUUUCAGCUCAUGAAACAUGGGACCAACACUUUGCAUGUUGCGUUUGUAUUUUUUGUUCAGUGUAAUAUGUUCUCCGAGCAGUUGCCAUUUAAAAUAGGUCCUGAAUGGAACAGAUUGUUUGUCAUCUGUAUCCCCAUGAAAUCAGCUAAAACAAACUCAAUAACUUAAUGCAUGCCACACACUGCUAUUGACUUCAAUGCAUUCACUUGUAUUGUGAAUGGACCUAGGCUACAUCUUGAUUUACAGUUUAUCAGUAGAGAUGUACCAUUCAAAUAAAUAAUGACCAUUGUUUUGUAGUUCGAUUGGUAAAAACAAAGUCAAAUUGAUUGUAUAAUUGAUUCAUUACUGCAUUAUUGCUGUCUCUAAAACAAAAUGUACAAACACGUGUUCAAAUCUAAUUAUAUUGAGCUCAAAAGAUGCCCGACGAUUGAACAGAGCGCUGAGAGCAGUAGCUGACUUUCUGUCAGGAUCAAGUGCCAUUCUGUGACUUUGCCAUUCUGUGACUUUGUCUAAUGCGCCUUUUUUUUGUGGUAUAGUUUUGGUAUUGUGAUACUAAAGCUGGUGUCCGAGUCCAAAUUCUGGUAUCGUGAAAACACAACUGGUGGCGCAGUCAACAGCAUCUGCUUUGUUUAUUUCAACACAGAUGUCUCAUGUGAUUUUGGCACGAACAUAAUUAUAUGAUCUCGGAUUCCACAUGAAGUGGAGUUGCUUAUAAAUCGCUUUUAACGUGUGAGCCCCACGUUUUACACAGUAUUUACUGAAAUGUACACUUGAUACACAUGCCACAGCACUACUGCAUGUCAAUGCCUUUAGGUUUCUUAUGUGGGGAAUCCUAAGAGAGAGAACUAAUUGUGACUGCAGGAUCUGGUGCAUGGUCCUUGCUCAAUGACCAACGUUUCUGGGUUUGUCCUUUCCAGGAGUCCCCUCUGAUCAUUGGGUGAUUAUCAGUAUAGUCUUCCCAGGUGUUGAAAGUCAGAAUCAUAAGGAUGUUGAAAAAUACCAUCUCUGGGUUUCUGAUCACCUUUGAGGAAAUGAACUGCUGUUGUUGCAAUUGCAUCGUAAGGAUUCUUAGUGCCCCCCUGCUAUCUUGGUAAUUGAUUUAGGAUAAUCACUAUAUGUAUAAUAAAUGCCAAAGCACAGCCCCCACACCACUAGAGUGAUUACUUCAACCACCAACUUACCAUCCUGAGAUAAGGCCGAGUAUAGCCCACAAAGAUCUCCGCCACGGCACAAACCAAGGGGGGGCGCCAACCCAGACACGAAGAUCACGUCAGUGACUCAACCCACUGAAGUGACGCACCCCUCCUAGGGACGGCAUGAAAGAGCACCACUAAGCCAGUGACUCAGCCCCUGUAAUAGGGUUAGAGGCAGAGAAUCCCAGUGGAGAGAGGGGAACCGGCCAGGCAGAGACAGCAAGGGCGGUUCGUUGCUCCAGAGCCUUUCCGUUCACCUUCACACACCUGGGCCAGACCACUCAAUCAUAAGACCCACUGAAGAGAUAAGUCUUCAGUAAAGACUUAAAGGUUGAGACCGAGUCUGCGUCUCUCACAUGGGUAGGCAGACCAUUCCAUAAAAAUGGAGAUCUUAUAGGAGAAAGCCCUGCCUCCAGCUGUUUGCUUAGAAAUUCUAGGGACAAUUAGGAGGCCUGCGUCUUGUGACCGUAGCGUACGUGUAGGUAUGUACCGCAGGACCAACUCGGAAAGAUAGGUAGGAGCAAGCCCAUGUAACGCUUUGUAGGUUAACUGUAAAACCUUGAAAUCAGUCCUUGCUUUAACAGGAAAACAGUGUAGGGAAGCUAGCACUGGAGUAAUAUGAUCAUUUUUUGGGGUUCUAGUCAUGAUUCUAGCAGCCGCAUUUAGCACUAACUGAAGUUUAUUUAGUGCUUUAUCCGGGUAGCCGGAAAGUAGAGCAUUGCAGUAGUCUAACCUAUAAGUAACAAAAGCAUGGAUUAAUUUUUCUGCAUCAUUUUUGGACAGAACAUUUCAGAUUUUUGCAAUGUUACGUAGAUGGAAAAAAGCUGUCCUUGAAACAGUCUUGAUAUGUUCAUCAAAAGAAAGAUCAGGGUCCAGAGUAACGCCGAGGUCCUUCAGUUUUAUUUGAGAUGACUUUACAACCAUCAAGAUUAAUUGUCAGAUUCAACAGAACAUCUCUUUGUUUCUUGGGACCUAGAACAAGCAUCUCUGUUUUGUCCGAGUUUAAAAGUAGAACGUUUUCAGCCAUCCUUAUGUCUAAAACACAGGCUUCUAGCGAGGGAAAUUUUGGGGCUUCAGCAUGUUUCAUUGAAAUGUACAGCUGUGUGUCAUCCGCAUAGCAGUGAAAGUUAUCAUUAUGUUUUCAAAUGACAUCCCCAAGAGGUAAAAUAUAUAUAGUGAAAACAAUAGUGGUCCUAAAACGGAACCUUGAGGAACACCGAAAUGUCAGUUGAUUUGUCAGAGGACAAACCAUUCACAGAGACAAACUGAUAUCUUUCCGACAGAUAAGAUCUAAACCAGUCCAGAACUUGUCCGUGUAGACCAAUUUGGGUUUCCAAUCUCCAAAAGAAUGUGGUGAUCGAUGGUAUCAAAGGCAGCACUAAGGUCUAGUAGCACGAGGACAGAUGCAUAGCCUCGGUCUGACCCCAGUAAAAGGUCAUUUACCACCAAUAUGUUUUGUAUCAUUUAAUUCUAUGAGCCUCGGUUUGUCCAUUAAAAUUAUUAGUCUGAUUGUGUGGAUGUUACGAAACACAUUUUAAGAUAUUUACAUACACAGCCCUGAUUGGCUGAUAGGAUGGUCUAUAGUCCACCCCCUUACCCAGAUUAACAGUCAUUUGGUCUAUUUUAAUCAGGUCAUGAUGUGGGCCAAAGGUCCCAUCCCAACUGAACAGGCUGAAAUUCCAGGCAUUUUUUCAAACCGCUCUUACACAAAAAUGGCAUUAUCGUUUUCACUAUUUCAAAUCAACAUCAAAUUUUAUUUGUCACAUGCGCCAAAUACAACAGGUGGACACCUUACAGUGAAACGCUUACUUACAAGUCCUUAACCAACAAUGUUUUAAGAAGUUAAGAAAAAAAGUGUUAAGUACAAAAUAGAAAAAUCAUAGUAACAAAUAAUUAAACAGCAGCAGUAAAAUAGCGAGGCGAUAUACAGGGCGUACCGGUACAGAGUCAAUGUGCGGGGCACUGGUUAAUUGAGGUAAUAUGUACAUGAAGGUAGAUUUAAAGUGACUAUGCAUAGAGAGUAGCAGCAGCGUAAAGAGGGGUCUGGGUAGCCCUUUGAUUAGCUGUUCAGGAGUCUUAUGGCUUGGGGGUAGAAGCUGUUAAGAAACCUCUUGGACCUAGACUUGGUGAUCCGGUACCGCUUGCCGUGUGGUAGCAGAGAGAACAGUCUAUGACUAGAGUGGCUGGAGUCUUUGACAUUUUUUAGGGCCUUCCUCUGACACUGGUAUAGUGAUCCUGGAUGGCAGGAAGCUUGGCCCCAGUGAUGUACCAUGAUAGUUUGUUGGUGAUGUGGACACCAAGGAACUUGAAGCUCUCAACCUGCUCCACUGCAGCCCUGUCAAUGAGAAAGGGGGCGUGUUCGGUCUUCCUUUUCCUGUAGUCCACAGUCAUCUCCUUUGUCUGGAUCACAUUGAGGGAGAGGUUGUUGUCCUGGCACCACACGGCCAGGUCUCUGACCUCCUCCCUAUAGGCUGUCUCGUUGUUGGUGAUCAGGCCUACCACUGUUGUCAUCGGCAAACUUGAUGAUGGUGUUGAAGUCGUGCCUGGCCAUGCAGUCAUGAGUGAACAGGGAGUACAGGAGGGGACUGAGCACGCACCCCUGAGGGGCCCCCGUGUUGAGGAUCAGCGUUGCGAUGUGUUGUUGCCUAUCCUUACCACCUGGGGUCGGCCUGUCAGGAAGUCCAGGAUCCAGUUGCAGACAGAGGUGUUUAGUCCCAGAAUCCUUAGCUUAGUGAUGAGCUUUGAGGGCACUAUGGUGUUGAAGAUUUAGCUGUAGUCAAAUAGGUGUUCCUUUUGUCCAGGUGGGAAAGGAUAGUGUUGAGUGCAGUAGAGAUUGCAUCAUCUGUGGAUCUGUUGGGGCGUUAUGCAAAUUGGACUUGGUCUAGGGUUUCUGGGAUAAUGGUGUUGAUUUGAGCCAUGACCAGCAUUUCAAAGCAUUUCAUGGCUACAGACGUGAGUGCUACGAGUCGGUAGCCAUUUAGGCAGGUUACCUUAGUGUUCUUUGGCACAGGGACCAUGGUGGUCUGCUUGAAACAACAUGUUGGUGUUACAGACUCCGUCAGGGACAGGUUGAGAAUGUCAGUGAAGACACUUGCCAGUUGGUCAGUCCAUGCUCGGAGUACACGUCCUGGUAAUCCGUCUGGCCCUGCGGCCUUGUGAAUGUUGACCUGUUUAAAGGUCUUCCUCACAUCGGCUGCGGAGAGUGUGAUCACAGUCUUCCGGAACAGCUGGUGCUCUCAUGCAUCUUUCAGUGUUACUUGCCUCGAUGCGAGCAUAGAGUAAUUAAGCUCCUCUGGUAGGCUCAUGUCACUGGGCAGCUCGCGGCUGUGCUUCCCUUUGUAGUCUGUAAUAGUUUCGUCCGCCACAUCGGACGAGCAUCAGAGCCGGUGUUGUAGGAUUCAAUCUUAGUCCUGUAUUGACGCUUUGCCUGUUUGAUGGUUCGUUGGAGGGAAUAGCGGGAUUUCUUGUAACCUUCCCGUGUUAGUCCCACUCCUUCAUUUUCAGAUUUAUUUUGACCUCCUAGUGUGGAUUUUUAAAAAUUGUAAUUGCACUCCCCUUUAACAAUCUGACAGUUCAUUAUGAUUCCCUUUGAUUACAUGCCAAAGUGUCUUUGAGCAUUUCUUUAAAAAAUAAUUAGUUCCAUUGCUGCUUAAAUUAUCAUAAAACCAUAGCUUUCGUGAACAUGAAGAUCCUUAGGUUAGUUUCAAGCUUCUGAUAGUGGCACUGCAUACUGUAUAUAUUGUCAGGCAACAGCUCUAUAAGGAAAUUGCCAUCGAAAUGAACUGGCUCUGUGCCCAAGCCUUUGCUUGGAUCACUCCAUCUCCUAAUUAGACCUGAGAUGGUCUCAUCAUAAUUUAUUGCUUUUAUAAUUUGACCACUGUUUUUAAGUCUCUGCCGUUGUCUCCAGGAAUUUUGACUAUGUUCUCAGUUUUAACUGUAAAGUCAUUAUAUGCCUAAUAGAUUUCUAUGCUUAAAUCUCUAUUGUCGUGAAUAUUUUCAAUGACUGUCUUGUCACAUUUGCAUUCACAGUCUGUGACACCAUCUUUGGGAACUGGCCGUCCACUUUCAUCUAGUGAUUAUUGUGAACUUCUUGUGUACAUCUCCUUACAUUUUCCUUUUGGCCUAUAUGGACAGGGUUAAAUUCAAAUGUUUCUUACAGAAGAAAUAUGAAAAGGAUUAGCAAUUGAAAGGCAACAGUUUGGAGAUCACGGGGAAACGUAUUAGACCAUAGGUGAGGACACAAGUUGUUUAAUCCAAACAUUACACCGUUGAUUUUAUGUGCAUUUUACAUUUACUCUAUGUUUUGCUGCAUUUGUUGAUUACAAAAUCUGAAAAUACAUUCAGUAACGUGAUACGAUUAUUCCUGGGAAAUGUGGCGCGACAUAAGACAAACAAAUUACAAGGGUGUGAGGUGUAACUGGUGUCUUCACGCUUUGGGGAGUUGUGCCUAAGUAAUUUGAACAGUUGAACCUAAGUAAUUUCAAAGCACUUCUGUGAGAAGUCUCCAACUAUAAGAUCUUUGUUUUGGAGCUCUCCUUGCUAUGCCGUCUGGGAACUAGAGCAAGCACACUUGUAGUUGUUUUGUUUAUAACAACCCUGUAUCCCCACCAAUUUCUGUUUAUGCAAUCCAAAAACAGUCUCUUAUAUAUCGCAAUCUGAGUCAAGUGUGCAUCAUUUGAAAGCUUGUUCUAUUGCCAACAUGACUGUCUAAUUAAAAAAAUAUGAAAUUAGUGUUAGGCUUUCACAAUGCAAUUUAGAGAAACAGUUCAUAACAUACACCAACAUACACCAUUUUUAUGCUGUAUUCAUUUUAAAUACAAUUCAACUUCUGAAUUGCCCAAAAAUAUUCAUCAUGGUAUAAAUAGGUCCAAUGUAUGACUCGUAAGAUAUUGCACAAGAGAGGAAAAGAUGAAGUCAGGAAUCCGUAGGUAGUAGUGUGUAGUAGUGUUUUAAAUUUGAAUGAAAACGAGGGCGUUGAGCUCUGAGUCAACUUGGGCUGGCAUUCUGGGCUAGGUGCAUCUUUGCGCUAAGCUGAGAGCAAGUGAAAGUCAGAAACAAAAAUGGAGCAGACGAAGCCAACAAGCAUAGUUCUAUGUUCUUGGAUCUGAAUCAACCUGACCGCAAAAGAGAAAAAGAAGCAAGAAAGACUGCUCGUGACCAAUCCAGAAACCGGAUAAACAUUGGAAUGAAUUUUGAAAGGUGGAAGAGGGACACCGUAAUGACCACUGUUCUCAUGGACUGGUGAAUAGCCAGAAGCGGCACGCUGUCGUGUUGAGAGGGGAUCAGCUUGGUUGCAGAGCUGGAGCCGAGACGACUGAGGAGAGCGCAUGGCUGUUGCUGGAGCAGACCAACCAGUUUCCAUUUCAAGAAGUCCUUUAAUGUGAAUUGGUAGGGUGAACACGUCACCCUUCCCAGAGCUAAGUAUACCUCUCUACAUCCAACUCUAACUUCAUGCCCGAUAGAGCUGUAUGCCGAUAGAGUGUGCCUGUGCAUUGAGCCUUUAGCUAACGUGUGACCUGGGAGGACGAACUACGGAUCAACGAGCCACUGUGGACCGGGUUGAUGGCUGCCGGUGGAACGGAGAGGGGGCCUUUUGGGGAAAUUGGGAGGGUGAACACGUCACCUUUCCUAAAGCUAAGUAACGUUCCAUAGUUAAUUUCCAACAUUUCGCCUGCUGACAUUCUCUACUGCUUUGUGUGCUACACACUUGUUAAUGCCAUUGCACCUACUGUGAAUUGUAUCGAACCAGAGAGGAGGCCUUAAGUAGCCUACCCCUCUCAUUCCAUCCGCGCUAGUAUAGACUUUCUUACCAUAUUUCUCCAAUGUCAAACCAGAGUGUCUUGUUUUCAGCGAAACGGUUGCUGUUUGCAAAUAAUUAUAUGUUAGACAUCCUUUUGAAUCUAAGCAUGGCACUUUCAAAAGUUACCUUUCCACCCAGACAGAGGCUCGACUAACGCAGGAAAAUGUAAGCUUCAUCUGCUGGAUACUCGUCUGUUGCUUAACCCAACAACAGAAGUGCUUCCCUAAAAGCUGGCUGAGUGUAAACAUCUCUUUUCAGAAAAGCUAAUUUAAUAGGGAUGGAAUUAGCAGUCCAUUUUUUUGGGCUCCUCUUAUAUUGAAGGCCGCAGCUUAGCUUCAGAAUGUCAGAGACUAAUCAAUAUAUCCCCAUAUGAAUCAGUCACAUCUUUGGUGGUCAUUUUAAAGCUUUUCUCUAGCAUAUCAGAGUUAAGAACUCUUUGUCUUAUCUGGAUUUUUUUUUAUGAAUUUAUUUCAAACUAUAAAGCCAACAAUUGAUAUCCUUGUUGCCGUUUUCUUUAAGAAACUGUAUUGCAUACCCUCACUCAAUUCGAGCCCUGAUUUUAACCAAACACACCAAGCCCUUUAAGGAGUGGAGUGCAUGGUGACAGUAUUGGAGGAUUUGGCUAUAGUGACACAUCUAUGGAUGGCAUAACUGCGUCUGUCAAACAAGUAGGCCUACCUCUUAUUUUUUUUAAUAGGAAGAAAUAGGCUCCAACAAAACCCUGUUGUUAGUGAAGUCUAAUUAAAAUCGGGACAAUUGUUGAAAUGAGUUACUUUCAGCACCAUUUGCUGUCCAACUCUGUUUGAUUCGUGCCGCAGCCGCUCAAAAGCCGAUGUCUGAUGUUUUAGUUGACUUUCUCCUGCACUCUCUCCACAUGAAUAUGUUAAUGAUUUAAAAAGUGUCAGUCUCAUGACAUUGCAAUUCAUUUGGUCUCCAGUCUGCGCUUGCAGAUAAACCACAUACGGUACUACUCUUUCUAUCGUAGGCCACUUCAAAUCAUUUGGUGGAGCGACGCAGCGCUGCGUUGGCAUCAUGCGCUCACCUAAAUAGCCGUCACGCCACUGGGUGAGAGAAAUGGCCUCCAACCAGUGGUGAAUGGAAAGAGACAUGUGUUCCACAAAGCGCCUAAAGUGUAAUGACAUUUGGCGAUUGUCAGUAGAGCAGAAUGAAUGCAUCCACUGCUGUCCUUGCACGUCUCGGGUGUAGGCCACUCAUCUCUGCCUUGGCAAAAUGUCUGUUCUUGUCGAGCGCGCAUCGCAUUUUGGAGCUUAGGCUGUGCUGCCCGUUUUCAAGUCCAUUCGCACAUUUUUCAUGCCUCUGACAUACGGUAAUGAUAAUGUUUUAAUAGCCUACAGUUUUCUUGACAUUUUGUUUUCAUUAUUGUGAAAAGCUCACGUUUUACCGGUACGGCGUACCCCCCACUUUAUUUUGCCAGGACACCAUACCGGACCAUAUCGCCUUACUUUCACCCCACCUAUUUUCCCAUUAUCGUUUGUUUUUGCUUUGAUUUUAAUGUACUCCUUUCCUUGGUUUUAUUGUGGCUUUGUGAUUUAGUUUAUACUCUUUGGAAAGGUGUUGUGGGUUUUGUACUUGGCCCGACGGUGCCUCAGCGUGAUCUGACAGUCUUUUUUUUGUCUUUCACUCAGUACAACACCACCCAGGAGAGGCCUGCUGCGAACACUGGAGUGGAUCCCUCAGAGCGUGCCUGCCGUGGGGGGACCACGGAACGUUCCUCAAUAUGCCUCGAUAUUUUGGAACUUUUAGCUACUGUUAAAUAAAGAUUGUCGAACACCCUUCUGUCUGUGUGUUUGGAAAGUCUACAUGUCUUGUAACCACUCAUUGAUACAAAUGGAAGAACUGACUUAUAUUCGCUUGUCUAUUGUCCCAUUCUUCAACCUGGUCUUUAUGUAUUUUAGUUGACACGUUAGUAAAAAUGUAUUCACCCUGGACUUUGGAUUUUUAGAACUUCUUUAUCAAUAAAGACAACACUUAAAGAUUA